ACAGGGUACCCCUGAAGUCCUGUAUAGGACUCAAUGCUGAUGUGGCAUCUGCUGUCCUGGAGCAUAGAGGUCAGUCUUCUCCCCCUGACACCUCCCAGGGCAUAGGAUAUAGGGUUUGGGGGAAGAGGUCCAGGAAAAGUCUGCAGGCAAGUCUGUCUGUCUGUCCUAGGCUCCUACUGUGCCCCAGCUGAGCUAAGGAGGCAUGAGUUUCUCAGAGGAGGUAGUAAGAUGGCAAUGAAGAUUAAUAGAGGAGACCCAGGUACCUCUUCCUUCUGAGGAGUCCCCACACGUGUUCAACACCCACACUGGGGCCUAGGGUGUCCGGUGUCCCUGGAAGUGAACGAAUUUGGGCCACAGGUUGCUGAAUUUUGCUUGUCUGUGAGGGGCAUGACUCCAGCGUGCAUUGGGAAGCACCAGGAAAUGGGGUAGAGAAAAAGGGUUGCACCCUAGGAAGGAGGCCCACCAAACAUUCAGAGGUACCUGGGUUUUAACAUUUGUUCAGGGCUCUGUCUUGGAUGCUGACCUUGGAGCCCUGGCUGUCAAAGGAUGCUGGGUCCAUCCCACGACCCAUCCUGAAGUUCCCCUGGUGUCUAACCCUCCGUCAGAGAAGGGAUAGUUCCCAGGCCGUUUUUCUGAGACUCUCAGGCAGGAGUGCACAUCGCUAAUACCGCACAUCCAACUGGGACCGGCUUUUACAGAGUUGUUGCCUUAAUGUAGGUUGAGGGAAAUUCACCAAGGUCACCCCUGCCUCUGCCUGAUACAGACACUGGACUCCACCUCCAGGUCCUGCUACUGGAGAGGAGUGCGGGCAUGAUGAGCUGCCACUAGUAGUCCCACAUGGAGGGGCUCAAAGCUGUGACCCCCUCGAUGUCAUCUAUCUGCCUGGGAUGGCUCCAUAUGCAGUGCAGCGCACCCCGCGCUUCCAGUCCACACCUGCCCAUUGCGGUCCUGUCCCCCCCUGGCCGCAGCUGCGGCUGCAGCUUCCCCAUCUGCGCUGUUGCCUUUGGCUGUCUUUGCACUUUUGUUCAUGCUCCAAAGAAUAUUUCAUAAUGCCUUCAUACUGAUGUGCACCCCAACCAUUUUGUACGCGCCCUUGGGCCACAGCGACUGGCCUUCUCCUUUGGGCCGGCGUGCCGCCAUCUGCACACGACGCUGUCUUCUAGGGAUAGAUGCCCAGGGAAUGAACUCUAGUUUUCUAACGGACUAGCUGAGAUGUUAACUUACUCAACAUGAACAGGAUGAUAUCUGUGCUGUGUGGGCGGGCCAACGUGUGCCCGCAGGGAACUUUGGGGCAGAAUCCUGCAGCAAGGGUGCAUGGAGGUGGUUCUGGAAAGUUUUGCUGCUGCAGGGCUAAGUUCAGACGCCCAGUGGAACUGGGCGCUUAGUAAAACACAGUGAUUCAACCUGGA
rnacentral:lncRNA from 1 species